GUGAGGAAUAUUGGACAAUGGGCGCAAGCCUGAUCCAGCCAUGCCGCGUGCAGGAAGACGCAUCUAUGGUGUGUAAACUGCUUUUGUACGGGAAGAAACACUCCCUCGUGAGGGAUCUUGACGGUACCGCAAGAAUAAGGAUCGGCUAACUCCGUGCCAGCAGCCGCGGUAAUACGGAGGAUCCAAGCGUUAUCCGGAAUCAUUGGGUUUAAAGGGUCCGUAGGCGGUUUAAUAAGUCAGUGGUGAAAGCCCAUCGCUCAACGAUGGAACGGCCAUUGAUACUGUUAGACUUGAAUUACAAGGAAGUAACUAGAAUAUGUAGUGUAGCGGUGAAAUGCUUAGAUAUUACAUGGAAUACCAAUUGCGAAGGCAGGUUACUACUUGUGGAUUGACGCUGAUGGACGAAAGCGUGGGGAGCGAACAGGAUUAGAUACCCUUGUAGUCC
rnacentral:rRNA from 1 species